rnacentral:rRNA from 1 species
AUCCAGACUCCUACGGGAGGCAGCAGUGGGGAAUAUUGCACAAUGGGGGAAACCCUGAUGCAGCGACGCCGCGUGAGCGAUGAAGUAUUUCGGUAUGUAAAGCUCUAUCAGCAGGGAAGAAAAUGACGGUACCUGACUAAGAAGCCCCGGCUAACUACGUGCCAGCAGCCGCGGUAAUACGUAGGGGGCAAGCGUUAUCCGGAUUUACUGGGUGUAAAGGGAGCGUAGACGGCAGUGCAAGUCCGGAGUGAAAGCCCGGGGCUCAACCCUGGGACUGCUCUGGAAACUGUAAAGCUGGAGUGCGGGAGGGGCAGGCGGAAUUCCUGGUGUAGCGGUGAAAUGCGUAGAUAUCAGGAGGAACACCGGCGGCGAAGGCGGCCUGCUGGACCGCGACUGACGUUGAGGCCCGAAAGCGUGGGGAGCAAACAGGAUUAGAUACCCGGGUA